ensembl:lncRNA
CCUUCAUAUUGCUCAACAUUCAGGCUGGAGGGGAAGUUAGGUUGUUUUUUCAGGCUACUGAGUGAGAAAGCUAGAAUUUGAGUCUAGCAGUCUGAUUUCCAAUCUGUGAUCAUUCACUAUACUUCACUGCAUGGAUGGGUCUAGUGAUCAUAAUCCACCCCUUUAAUUUGGCAGAUGAGAUGAGGAAAUAGAGAUUAUGUAACUUUUCUAAGGCCCAAUGCCCUUUCGACUUCACCACCUUGUCUCUUGUCUCCAUUGCCUCUUCACCAACCUCGACUCAACUUUUAGCUGAGCUCCUACCAAAACCUCAGAAUAGUGUGUGUUUUAGCUAUUUGAUAUACUCUUCCGGACUAAUAAUGACUGAGUCUAAAGGUGGGACUUGUAGACCAGAGAGGAGGAACGAGUGGUGUCUUGAUAUGUGGUGGGACAAGAGAAGCCCCAUGAUGUCCCUAGAAUCACAUCAUGUAAAUUCUCUUCUGCUCCAUUUCUGCAUAGAUCUUGUCUUCACACCAUUUAUUUCUUCAAAAGUUAUUUACUGAGUACCUACUAUGUGCCAGGCAGCAUGCUAGCGGCUUAGGACACAUCUGUGAACAAAACAGACAGAAGCCCCUGAUCUUGUGAGACUUACAUUCUAGAAGGGAGUGGCAGAGAACAAACAGUAGAUAUUAUAAAUGAUAAAUGGAUAAAUUAAAUAGUCUUUUAGAUGAUGAUAAAUGAUACAGAAAACAACAGAUCAGGGUAAGAAAGAUUAGGAAUGCUGAGAAGCAGGUCUUCGCAGGUGGAAUAGAGUGUUCAGGGGGGACUCACUGAGAAGGUGGCAUUUGAAUGAAGACUUGCAGGUAAUAAGGGAAAAAGCCACUCAGAUUUUUGGAAGAAGACCAAUCCACAAAGAUAGAUGAGCCAAGGUAAAGGCUUUAAUGUAGGAACAUGUGUAGAAUAUUUGGAGCAGAGUACAAGGCCAGUGAAGCAGGAGGAGAAGACUAAAAGGUGAAGUCAGAGAUGGAACCAGGAGUUAAACCACGUAGUGACUUGUCAGUCAUUGUUUGGACUCUCACUUUCCUUCUGAUUGAAAUGGGGAGGCAUUGCAGGACCUUAACCAGAGGACAGAAAUGGUAUGGCUGAUAUUUUAACUAAUCACUUUGGUUGCACUGUUGAGAAUAGGCAGUCAGGGAGCAGGAGAGAGAGGGAGAUUGUUAGGAGGCAAUGUCAAUAACCAAGGCAGGGACGGUGGUAGCGUGGAACAGUGGAGAAGUGGUCAUAGUCUGGAUACAGGACUUCCUGAUGUAAUAGAUACGGAAUACAAGAGAAAGAGAAGUCACGAAUGACUUCAAUGUCUUUGGUGUAAUUAAGUGGAAGAUUGGAGUUGUCAUCAACUGAGAUGUGAAAGACUGAAGAAGCAGCAGAACGGGAGGUGGACCAAGAGCUCAACGCUGGUGCCAGGAGCUGUGUUAGGCACGAUGAAGACACAAAAAGAAAAGAACACCCUAGAAGCUCAUGGAGGAGAGCUGUUGAACACCCUUACAUAGAACUAUCUCUAGAUAUUUAUCAGAUUCCGGAACAUUGAUGAAGAUUUUGGAAUGCAGCUCUUCCUUGUGAUUUGAUUCUAUGAUGACAGCACCAUCAAAUACACUUUAGCAGAAUCCAGGUCUUGAAGAGAGUAACUUUCAUACAAAAAGUUGACAACUUCAUUAACAGAGUUGCUAUACAUUUCUUAUAAAACUAACAGUACUAAACAGUAGUAUUUACAUGGUUGCAUGGAAAACUUUGUAAAAUAUGUACAUUAAAUGUAUAUAGAAAUUACUUUUACAACUAUUUUAUUGUCACAACACUAAUGUUUUUGUUUUUAUUUUGAUCUUUUAAACUUUUAUUGACUUGCAAAAAGAAGAAAAAGGGAGACAUUUUAAGUAUGGUGGGUGUAUACCUAUUACUGGCUCAUUUACCUGGCUAGACUUUCCUGCUCUUACUUGUGCAGUUGAGUAAUAGGUGAUCAAAUGGUUUGAUUUUCUUGAUUUCCUCUCCUCUAUCCACCAUCCUCUGGCCGCACAAUCUGUUCGUGCUGCUGCUUUCACAUUAGGGUGUUUUGUUUUCAAGUUGCUGGGACCAACGAUAGCCAGCUUAAAAGAACAACAAUAACAAGAGGACAUUGAUGGAAUUUACUGCGAGGAAGCGGAAGAGUUUCCAGAAUCAAAGACAAGACUGAAGACCCAUGCAGGGCAGGCCAAGGAGUGAGGCACUCCAGGAACGUAGUGACGGGAAGCCUCGUCCAAGCCCAGCCCUGGAGGCAGACUCUUUGCUGCAUAACCUAGACCACACAGAGAAGCUCAGCCCCUCUCUGAUCUCAGCAAUCAACAUUGUCUACCCAAAACAUACUAGUAGACUGUGCUGGAAUGGGUGAGAGUGCAGUGGGGUGCAGGUGGAACAGAGUUCACAUGGCAAGAGAGAAGCCAGCGUUACUCAGUUCAGAAGGAAACGCUGCCAAAACUGCAUGAAAAACUGUUGAUUUGGAACUGUGUCAUAAAACAGAACAAGAGUAAAGGGUUGAACUGGCUGCUUCAGCCUGAAACAGCUCUCCUGGGUUGAUCCUGCUGAUUUUACUGUUGAUGGCAGAGAAAGACAAAACAAACACAAAGGCAAUGUGGCAACGAACACAGUCCUAACUGGCUUGAAUUCUUCGGCUUACUCCAGUCUUCAUUUAUCCCAACACUGGGAUACAAGGUUUCCGAGGCCACUUUUUUCUAUGAAAUUCUCCACGUUUUUUGACUUAAAGAAAAACUUUCAUCUUUCAGUAAAGAAUCCAUCCAAAUUUGAAGAAGAGGAUUAAAAAGUUCAGAUGUUAUUCCAAACGGAUGUUAAAAAAACAGCCAAACUAUCAGAAAUGAAGUAGGACGGCAAGCAAUUAUUUGAAGCAGCUGGGUUACAAGAAGGACUUCUCACAUGUUAUUACACGCAAAGGAAUUAUGGAUUAUGGAAAGAUGAGCAAUAUAAUUAUGCUCAUGGAGUGUCACAUUAAUUUUUAAGAAAUCCAGACAAUCAGCUUGUCAUGAAAGACUGUUGGGAUUUCACUUGAGAUUGCACUGAAUUUAUAGAUUAAUUUGGAAAAAUUCGCAUUUUUUUACAACAUUGAGUCUUCCUAUCUAGCAACAUGAUAUAGAUCUCCAUUUAUUCAACACGACUGGCCCUGAGCUAACAUCUGUGCCUAUCCUCCUCCACUUUAUAUGUGGGACGCCUACCACAGCAUGGCUUGCCAAGCAGUGCCAUGUCCGCACCCGGGAUCCGAACUGCUGAACCCUGGGCCACCAAAGUGGAACGUGCGCAUCCAACUGCUGUGCCACCAGACUGGCCCCACUAUGGACAUUUCUUAUACCUAUAUUUGAAUAUACACAUAUCUGCAUUUCUCUUGGUUAUAUAAUUUGGAAUAGAAUUG